CUAUAGUUCAACGGAUAGAACGGUGGAUUCCUAAUCCACAAAUGGAGGUUCGAUUCCUCCUAGGGG
rnacentral:tRNA from 1 species